rnacentral:lncRNA from 1 species
GUUUAUCUGCAGCUCUCGAAAAGGCAGCAACAGAAGUAACUGAGAUAAACAGACUGAAAGCUGCCCACAGCCAAAGCAGCUAUGUCUCCCCGGAGACAUAGUGCCUGGCACAGAGAAGGCAUUCAGUAAAGGUCUGCUGAAUGAAUGGAUGACGAUUCUCGCGAACAGACAGGAAACUGACAGGUAAGGAGGUAGCUGCCGGCGCCGUGCGGUCUGCUCUCUCAGGGGCAGUGAGGGAAGUCGGUCUGAGCCGGCUCGAGAGGAGGCGGUCUGUUCACAAGAGCCUCACGGACUCUUCAGGAACUGAGCCUCUAGCUCUCUCCCUCCCUCUUCUCACUUGGCCGCCGUCUGCUGCCCUCUGUCUGUGUCUCUGCAGACCGGCUUCCUCUGCUCCUGCUGCUGGGAACACGCAGCUGACAGCCUCCGAGCUGACAGGACUACAGCUCCAGCCAGGGGAAUGACUGAAUCUCUCCUGGUCUUUGUUGCAAAUUCCCGGGGAGGGGCUCCUGGGCAGGGGGCUCUCUCCACCGUCCCAUCCCCUGACAGUGGUUCAAGUCAGUGAGGCAGAGGGGUUUAAGAAUUCGUGGAGACAGGAGGAGCCGCUCGGUCCUCAUCAACUUCUCCGCUGAUGGUUAGAUCAGAACGCGUCCUCCAGCUCGCUGUGCAUGGAAACCCUAAGUAUUUGCCCUGGAAAUGCUCGUGAGGAGUCCUCGACCUGCGAAAAUGCAAAAGUAUGCGACGGGUCCUGAGACUCCUCGAAGAGGUGAAGACCUGAGCGUGUGAAGAGGAAGGCUCCUGCUCCCUCAAGCACUGCGGGGUGAGAUGGACACCCCUCCUCUCGGGGAGAACUGAGGGUGCACAGUUGCUAAGAAGCGGACGACUAGACCAGACUCAGUGACGACCCUGGCUCACAUUCCAUCCUACAGAUACAUUCAUUUUUUAUACUGAGCUCUAUUUGAAGGGCCAGUCAUUCCUGUUAAUGAUUUAAAGAGCUCGUCCCGUUGACAGUAUAACCACAGCAUCAGUUGCUUCCUUCCAGGCCUGAGCACACAACGAAAAGGAUCUGAGCGGGAGAAGGUCUCCAAAGGGUUUCCCGCGACUCCGCCGCCGCCCCUGGGGAGGACGCCGGGCCCGGCCGGGACUGGCAGGGCGCCCCGGGACCGCGGGGAGCGGCGCUGCACGUGUGGGGCUCCGGCCCGCCCCCCGCAUGGCACCUUCCCACCCGCGGAAUCGAAGCUCCUCCGCCGGCGCCGGACCCCGCGGCCGGGCCGCCACACGGCGUCGCUGUCCCCGCAGGUCCCGCCGCAGCCGGCGCGCCGUCGUUCCCCGCCGGGCGGUGAGGCG